AACGCUAGCUACAGGCUUAACACAUGCAAGUCGAGGGGCAUCAGGGUAGCAAUACCGCUGGCGACCGGCGCACGGGUGAGUAACACGUAUCCAACCUACCGUUAACUCGGGGAUAGCCUUUCGAAAGAAAGAUUAAUACCCGAUAGUAUAUUUUCUUCGCAUGUUGAAAAUAUUAAAGAAUUUCGGUUAUCGAUGGGGAUGCGUUCCAUUAGGCAGUUGGCGGGGUAACGGCCCACCAAACCUACGAUGGAUAGGGGUUCUGAGAGGAAGGUCCCCCACAUUGGAACUGAGACACGGUCCAAACUCCUACGGGAGGCAGCAGUGAGGAAUAUUGGUCAAUGGACGAAGGUCUGAACCAGCCAAGUAGCGUGAAGGAUGACUGCCCUAUGGGUUGUAAACUUCUUUUAUAUGGGAAUAUAGUUCUCCACGUGUGGAGUUUUGUAUGUACCAUUAUGAAUAAGCAUCGGCUAACUCCGUGCCAGCAGCCGCGGUAAUACGGAGGAUGCGAGCGUUAUCCGGAUUUAUUGGGUUUAAAGGGAGCGUAGGUGGACUGGUAAGUCAGUUGUGAAAGUUUGCGGCUCAACCGUAAAAUUGCAGUUGAUACUGUCAGUCUUGAGUACAGUAGAGGUGGGCGGAAUUCGUGGUGUAGCGGUGAAAUGCUUAGAUAUCACGAAGAACUCCGAUUG
rnacentral:rRNA from 1 species